rnacentral:rRNA from 1 species
GGUUAACGCUGGCGGCGUGCUUAACACAUGCAAGUCGAGCGAGGGCCAUCAUCCCGCAAGGGAAGGUGGUUCCUAGCGGCAAACGGGUGAGUAACACGUGGGCAACCUGUCCCUUUGUGGGGGAUAACGUCGGGAAACCGGCGCUAAUACCGCAUAAGAUCGCCGAUCGCAUGGUCGGUGAAGAAAGCAGCAAUGCGCGAAGGGGUGGGCCCGCGGCCUAUCAGCUAGUCGGUGGGGUAACGGCCUACCGAGGCGAAGACGGGUAGCUGGUCUGAGA